rnacentral:lncRNA from 1 species
AGCCGCAGCUGCCCCCUCCGGGCUUUUCAGAGGCCUUUUUAGGGUAUCUCCUAAUGGCCUUCAGAGUCUAUAAGGGGCUUCAUCGCCCCUUCCCACUGCUCCAUAGGAGCCCACUGCUGUAGCAGGCGGGCCCACCAGAGUCCUUCUGGCUGCAGAAUAUUGAGGGGGGUCUGACCCCCUCAUUGAACAAUUUGUGGGUGCAUGGGCAUAUGCCUAUCCGCAUAUAAGACGAGCAUCGUCUUAUACAUGGAAAAAUACGGUACCUUCUGUUUAAAUACUUUUUAGCUUUCCAAACCAUUUUACAGAUUUUAAAUGACAGUACCCCACCCUACUUAUGCUCGUCUACGAUGGUAAUAAAAAAAGAUUGUUUGAAGUGGAUAACUCUUGUAGAAAAAUAACUUAAAUCCUUCUGGGAUUUAAGACUAUUACAACAUUUUCUAGGCCUUCUGAUUCUCUUUCCACCUAGGUCCACUCAUUGCUACAAAGGAUCUCAUUCAACAACAGUGCUGGGGAUGAAAUCACAUUAAAUGAACAUGGAGAAAUAGCAGCUGGCUUUGAUAUUGCAAACCUGGUCACUUUCCCAAAUAAUUCCUACGUCAGGGUCAAAGUCGGAAAGCUGGAUCCUCAGGCCCCUCCUGGCAAAGAACUCAUCAUUAAUGGGAACGGAAUCCAAUGGCACAGAGUCUUCACUCAGGUAAGGAAAUCACUGUGGGGGGAGGUGCUGCCCAACUGCUGCUGCCACUAGUAAUAAUGCUGCUACUAAUAAUUUUAUUAAUAACAAAUGAACCACAUAAUCAAAAAGAGCAAUAUGCACAGAAGACAUGUCACACCAAGAAGGACCAAUGGCUUUCAGACAGUGUUGUCCAACAUGCUUGUUGGUCCAAGGCGGUUUUCCAGUUAGUAGCAUUAAACAGAUUGCUAACAUUGAAAUCUUCUGGUGCCUCUUGUAACUCUAGUGUCGAGUUGGAAUGCUAGAAGCCGGGAUGUACGUAAUUGUGUGUCAGGUUGGCUCCUGCCACAGGGCCAGGCCCAGGGGGAGCCCCCCAAAUCAUGCCUUGCUCGGAGUGGUUACUAGCCCGGCUGCUAGUAACUCCAUAUACUCCAUCAGCUGUGGACAAGGCAUGCAGGCUCCUCUCAAUGCCUCAUGUUUCUGAUUUAUUCAAUCCAAGGCUUGUCAGCACUAGUUGCCUACAAAAUCAUAUAUUUUUUAAAAAGGUCAUUGGAAAAAUGUUGGAAAUAUUUCUUUUUGAAAAAGUCGCAACUUAUUUUAUGUACACAUUUUAUUGUAGUUCCCUGCUUUUUAUGAAGUUGGUUUUCUAAAACCAGUCCACCACAACCCCAAUACAUUUUCCAUCAGUGUACCUACAUUUUCUGUGCACCAUUUUCGCUGCCUCUCUUUUUUCCAAAGGUAUAAGUGAUAGGGCUGUCCAAAUAGGAGCAAAACCACAGUAAUUCACUACCUCCAAAUCCCAACUCCUUGAAGCUCACUAAGGGGACAUCAAGUGAAAUUACAGCAGCAAAGAGCAGGAGGCUGUAGUACCAUAAAAAGAAAUAACCAGUAGUGUAUUAGAUUAAAUUAUCUGAUUGUUGUAGCAAUGGUCAAUCUAGAUAUGAACAUUGUAAUCUUCUUGUGUUUGUAUGAUGCUUAGAACUAUAACUUUUCUCCCACUGUGUAUGUGCUGCUUUGGCACAUAGAAAACCUAUAGCUAACAUUUCUGGCCCUCCUACUUACUGGUAGAUCACCUGAUGUUACAUGAAUCCCCUAAAAUAUUGUCUUAAUAUUAACCUCUUUGUGUCUCUUUGGAUAGGUGCCACCCCUUUCAUUAUGUAAUGCCAACUGCCUUCCCGGUUAUGAGAAGAAAAAGAAGGAGGGGAAGAAGUUCUGUUGUUAUGAUUGUGAUCCAUGUCCUCGUGGGAUGUUCUCAAAUGAGAAGGGUGAGAGAUGCCAUAUUACCAUAUACAAGCUAUUUUAGGAAAUUCUGAGCAAAUUGGCAAUGAGGUUUGCUCUGUAUGGUCUCAAUUUAUAUUGUUUAUUAACAAUACAGUGGUACCUUGGGUUACAUACGCUUCAGGUUACAUACGCUUCAGGUUACAGACUCCGCUAACCCAGAAAUAGUACCUUGGGUUAAGAACUUUGCUUCAGGAUGAGAACAGAAAUUGUGCUCCAGCGGCGUGGCAGCAGCAGCAGGAGGCCUCAUUAGCUAAAGUGGUGCUUCAGGUUAAGAACAGUUUCAGGUUAAGAACGGACCUCCGGAACAAAUUAAGUAAUUAACCCGAGGUACCACUGUAGUAGAAUAAUCUCCCUUCUGUCUGUGUAAAAGCUGCCACUAUGAAGAAAUUAUCUUAACCUUCAAGAGAGUAUACCAUGAGGAUGUGACCGUAAUCUGUAAUGUAAAGAUUUUCCAUCAGUGUACCUACAUACAUUGAUAUUCUAAACAUGACAAGUAAAGGUAAAGGGACCCCUGACCAUUAGGUCCAGUCGUGGCCGACUCUGGGGUUGCGGCGCUCAUCUCACUUUAUUGGCCGAGGGAGCCGGCGUACAGCUUCAGGGUCAUGUGUCCAGCAUGACUCUGGCGAACCAGAGCAGCGCAUGGAAACGCCCUUUACCUUCCCGCCGGAGCAGUACCUAUUUAUCUACUUGCACUUUGACGUGCUUUCGAACUGCUAGGUUGGCAGGAGCAGGGACCGAGCAACAGGAGCUCACCCCAUCACGGGAUUCGAAGCGCCGACGUUCUGCUUGGCAAGUCCUAAGCUCUGUGAUUUAACCCACAGCGCCACCCGCGUCCCAUUCUAAACAUUACUGCAUACAAUAUUCUCUAAUUUUUUAAAAAAUAUAUAUUAUUAUUAAAGUUUUCUUGGUUUACAAAGGUAUAUGCAGUGUCUCUUUUUUUCAAGUUACAUUUUCCAUAGGUCAGUUCAUUUGUUGAGACAUUAGGGUUACAUUAGGAAGAGAAAAGGGGGGAAGAGGUGGAGGGGGCCAUGGUGCGUGGGGGUGGGGUCGGGAGGCGAUAUUUCUAUUUUGCUUAAUGUAUGUGUGGGGUUUUGUGUCAGCGUAGAUUGUGCAGGUGCUCUUUGCUAUUCGCAUGUGUUCCUUUGGUGGUGAGAGAGAUUGGGGUUGGCCUAGGGUGCAGUUGCUUGCUUGUGGUUGCUUGUGGUGAACUUUGUUUUCGUGUGUGAAUGGGGGUAGAUGGGUGUUUUGGAUCAGGUAACCAUAUUGAUUCAUAUGCUGUUGGUGGAUUCUUGUCAUUGUCUUGUUGGGCUGUGUAUGUGAUAAAGGUAUCUUCUUCUAUUUGCCAUCGUGUCACUUUCAGUUUAUUGGUUAAUUUUUCUAGUAGCGCUGUUUCGCAUACUAUUUGGUACAAUUGGUCCAUACUUACUCCUGACAGGUCUUUCCAGUGUCUGACUAUGAUGUUUGUGGUUGCUGAGAGUAGGUGGGUUAUGAGUUCUUUGUGAUGCGAGUGGGCAUUGUUGUCUUGGAAUAUGAUUAGUAGGGGCAGUUCUGGGGUGGUUUCUAAUACUUGCUUAGUUAUUUUACAUUUCGUGUAUGGCUGUUGUCCAGAAUAGUUGGAUUUUGGGGCAUUCCCACCACAUGUGUAGGUAUGUGCCUGUGGAGGUGCACCCUCUCCAGCAUUUUGCUGAGGUUCCUGGGUGUAUUAGCACUAGUCUCCAUUGUUGUUAGGUAAUAUUCUCUAAUGUUUAAUGCAGUUUCUCAUUGAUGGUGGCUCACUGCUGUGCUGCCACAUUUUAAUAACACAUUUUAAUGAUAUACACCAUGAGUGUAGAUCCGCCCCUCUGCAAAAGACAUAAAAAGAUCCGCCCUUAUGCAAAAAGACAUAAAAAUUGUACAUGCAUUCUGCCCUGGAAGAAACCAAGGUUUUGGGGGAGGCAGGAUGCAAAAGAAUUGGGGUCUUUAUUCUAAGAACAAGGUUCCUUGGGAACUUCAUCUUCAAAGAUUCUAGGGCACAAGCAUUUUGACUAGAAGUUUUGAAACUUAUCCUCGUGGAAACACUAUGGUAAGGGAACUCAUGAUUUAAAAAAAAACUCUUAAGCAUAUACUGGAUUGUUUCCAAUUGCCAUACCACCUUUUUCAGGAUUGGAAACCUGUGCCAGAUGUCCUCCAGAGCAAUAUCCAAAUGAAGAGCAGAAUCAGUGCAUUCCCAAGAAACCACACGUCCUAGGCUUUGGGGAAACUUUGGCCAUUGUUUCAACUUUCUCUGCACUUUUAUUCUCUCUAAUCACAGCAAUGGUACUUGGCAUUUUCAUUAAGCACCGGGACACUGCCAUCGUCAAAGCCAACAACAGAAGCCUCACUUACAUUCUCCUUGUGUCCCUUCUCUUGUGUUUCCUCUGCACUUUGAUGUUCAUUGGAACUCCUAAGGAGCCAAUCUGCCUUCUCCGACAAACAAGUUUUGGCAUCGUCUUCUCUGUGGCCCUCUCCAGCAUCUUGGCCAAGACUAUUUCAGUGGUUUUGGCAUUCAUGGCUACCAAGCCAGAUUCCACAAUCAGGAAGUGGGUAGGCAAAAAACUGGCUUACUCCAUCGUCCUUUCCUGCUCUGUGAUUCAAGUCGGAAUCUGUGCCUUCUGGCUGGCAACCUCUGCCCCAUUCCCAGAUGUGGACAUGCACUCAAUGACUGAAGAAAUUAUAUUCUUAUGUAAUGAGGGGUCAGUUCUAAUGUUCUAUGCUGUUUUAGGC